GUAGUCCUAGAUAAUGUGUGAAAUUUUCUUUCAUAGAAAUAUUAAAAGCAUGUUAAGUAAUCUAUUUUUUUGGAGGUAUUUUUAAUGAAUCAAGGUACAGUUAAAUGGUUUAACGCAGAGAAAGGAUUCGGAUUUAUCGAAGUUGAAGGCGGAAAGGACGUUUUCGUUCAUUUUUCAGCUAUAGUUGCUGAGGGCUUCAAAUCUCUUCAAGAAGGACAAAAGGUUAGCUUCGACGUUGUUGAAGGACAAAGAGGAGAGCAAGCUGCUAACGUAGUUGUUCUAUAAUUUUAUAAAUAAAAGCUGUUGACUUAAGUC
rnacentral:sRNA from 1 species